AGUGAACGCUGGCGGUAGGCCUAACACAUGCAAGUCGAACGGCAGCACAGAGGAGCUUGCUCCUUGGGUGGCGAGUGGCGGACGGGUGAGGAAUACAUCGGAAUCUACUCUGUCGUGGGGGAUAACGUAGGGAAACUUACGCUAAUACCGCAUACGACCUACGGGUGAAAGCAGGGGAUCUUCGGACCUUGCGCGAUUGAAUGAGCCGAUGUCGGAUUAGCUAGUUGGCGGGGUAAAGGCCCACCAAGGCGACGAUCCGUAGCUGGUCUGAGAGGAGGGUCAGCCACACUGGAACUGAGACACGGUCCAGACUCCUAAGGGAGGCAGCAGUGGGGAAUAGUGGACGAUGGGCGCAAGCCUAAUCCAGCCAUACCGAGUGGGUGAAGAAGGCCUUCGGGUUGUAAAGCCCUUAUGUUGGGAAAGAAAUCCAGCUGGCUAAUACCCGGUUGGGAUGACGGUACCCAAAGAAUAAGCACCGGCUAACUUCGUGCCAGCAGCCGCAGUAA
rnacentral:rRNA from 1 species